rnacentral:tRNA from 1 species
GUCCUCGUAGCGUAAUUUGGAUAACGCGACAACCUCCUAAGUUGUAGAUUGUGGGUUCAAAUCCCAUCGGGGACGCCA